CUGGAAUGGCAGAGGGACUCGUCAGGCGACCUGCAACCCCGAGCGGCCCCGGGACGGUCUCUUCGGCACUACCCUCCCGGCUGGGAACCCCAUCCAGGUAAGGGGACGGCAACAGCUCAGGCCUGGUGCCCACCUGUGUUUUCCAGCAGCGUCUUGGGGGUGUUGGGCCGGUUGAUGAUCUCCACCAGGUUGUUGAGGACCAUCUGCACGUAGGGCUGCAUCUCUGCCCCUGGGGGACCGGUCAGUCAGAGCCCCGCACAGCCCAGACCACCCAUGCUGACCUCAGCUGCAUCUACGCACUGACCCCCUGCAACCGCUGAGGGAACGGAGAACAUUCUCCAGCUGGUCCCCCGCUCAGGACCCGUGGCCAACCAGGGGCAGACCCAAGCCUUCCAAACGCCAGAAGCUUCCUUGGAGUCACAGCUCCAACACCGGGGCGAGACCGCAUUGCCCAGAUUCCCUGUGGGGGAAGACCAAUCACAGACGGCCUUUCAGCCAUUUGGGAGUCUCCCGGCGGAAACCACUCAGAGAGGUCUUCUUGCCAGACCAACUGGGGCAAUCCUCAAGGAGCACCGGGGCUCUCUCCCCAGGGGCCUGCCCUCAGCAGGGAACAGACCGAUGUGGGUGACAGCGCGGGGCCCGUCAACUUGCAGCACACUCACCCAUCU